rnacentral:rRNA from 1 species
AUUGAACGCUGGCGGCAUGCCUUACACAUGCAAGUCGAACGGCAGCGCGGGAGCAAUCCUGGCGGCGAGUGGCGAACGGGUGAGUAAUAUAUCGGAACGUGCCCAGUAGUGGGGGAUAGCCCGGCGAAAGCCGGAUUAAUACCGCAUGAGACCUGAGGGUGAAAGCGGGGGAUCGCAAGACCUCGCGCUAUUGGAGCGGCCGAUAUCAGAUUAGCUAGCUGGUGGGGUAAAGGCCUACCAAGGCAACGAUCUGUAGUUGGUCUGAGAGGACGACCAGCCACACUGGGACUGAGACACGGCCCAGACUCCUACGAGAGGCAGCAGUGGGGAAUUUUGGACAAUGGGCGCAAGCCUGAUCCAGCAAUGCCGCGUGCAGGAAGAAGGCCUUCGGGUUGUAAACUGCUUUUGUACGGAACGAAACGGUCCGGGUUAAUACCCUGGGCUAAUGACGGUACCGUAAGAAUAAGCACCGGCUAACUACGUGCCAGCCGCCGCAGUAACAC